rnacentral:rRNA from 1 species
UAUGCCUAACACAUGCAAGUCGAACGGAUACUAAUUAAGAGAAUCUCACACUAGUGAGAGGUUCUCACGAGUAGUAUUUAGUGGCGGACGGGUGAGUAACACGUUGGAACCUGCCCCGAAGUGGGGAAUAACUGCUCGAAAGAGUAGCUAAUACCCCAUAGUAUCCGGUUUAUCCGGAUUAAAGAUUUAUCGCUUCGGGAGGGGCCUGCGUCUGAUUAGCUAGUUGGUGAGGUAAAAGCUCACCAAGGCGACGAUCAGUAGCUGGUUCGAGAGGAUGACCAGCCACACUGGGACUGAGAUACGGCCCAGACUCCUACGGGAGGCAGCAGUGAGGAAUCUUCCACAAUGGGCGCAAGCCUGAUGGAGCAAUACCGCGUGCAGGAAGACGCUUUUCGGAGUGUAAACUGCUUUUGUCGUCGAAGAUUAUGACUGUAGACGGAGAAUAAGGACCGGCUAACUACGUG